UUACCCCGAGGCCUAGAGGAAAGAAUGGCUGCCGUCCUCCUGUCCACAGCCCGCCGGACCCUCCGUCGCGGCUGCCGGCUCCCCGGAGCCGCAGCCACCGAGCCUGGCUGUGCGUGUCGUGGCUGCUGGGGAGAAAGAGGCGUCCGGACAUGCUCUGGAGUCAGAAGACGGCGAAAAGAGAAGCAGAAGCCUCGGUGGCAAGAGUCCGAAGGGAGAAAAUAACCCAGUUUGGGAAGGACAUUUAAAAAGGAAAAAUAUUAGGACGCAAUCACUGUAACCUGUGGAUUGUACUGCAGUAGGAAACUAUCCUAGCGAGGCUCUGCUUUGCCCCAGCUUCAAGCUGGAAAGGAGGAGAACAUGAAACGUUGCUUGAAGACAAUGGCCGAGACAGCAGGUCCCACCCUGCACAGCCACCAGCAUCUCUCCCCUCAGCCCUGUCUCCUCUUCUGCAGUUGGGAUCUGCACAUUUAAGCCCCAAAUUGUCCUGUGAAGUGAAGUAUGAUCGGACAGCCUCUUUUCAGCUUUUAUGAAAAUGGAGACAGAGGAAUUGUGGCUCUUGCCAAGGUCACA
rnacentral:lncRNA from 1 species